GACGUAGGGCGCGAGCGUUGUCCGGAUUUAUUGGGCGUAAAGAGCUCGUAGGCGGCUUGUCGCGUCGACUGUGAAAACCCGCAGCUUAACUGCGGGCCUGCGGUUGAUACGGGCGGGCUAGAGUUCGGUAGGGGAGACUGGAAUUCCUGGUGUAGCGGUGAAAUGCGCAGAUAUCAGGAGGAACACCGGUGGCGAAGGCGGGUCUCUGGGCCGAUACUGACGCUGAGGAGCGAAAGCGUGGGGAGCGAACAGG
rnacentral:rRNA from 1 species